AGUGUAGAUGAAGGCAGAGAUCAGGGCAAUGACUCUGAAGCCAAGGAAUACCAAAGAUGGCCACCAAACCCUCAGCAGUGAGGGAAGACCACGGAACAGAUUCCCUCUCAUGGCCCUCAGAAGGAACCAAUCCUACAGAGACUUUAAUGUCAGACCACUAGCCUCCAGGAUUGUGAGAGAGUAAAUUUCUGUUGUUUAAGCCACCAGUCUAUGGUACAUUGUUAUGGCGCCCUGGGAAACUGACACACCACUCCCUACCCUCCCCCAGGGAAGGGAGCUAUGUUUCAGGAGCCCAAUGAAGGGGCACCUGGCUGGAGCUGCAUUCAUCGAGGUGGCAGCGCAAGGAGGAAGCUGAGCAAUCAAGACUCUCACCGUUCUCUCCUCCUGCCCUCCAGUCUCCUACAUCACCUACGCCAGUGGAAGCCAGCAGACAGGGGAGCUAUUGACAUCCUAUGGCUCCUGCUGGAAAGCAAACUCCUGACGACCAGGUCCUGUGUCUGGCUCACUUACCCGAUCCAGAGGGCUAACCUGAAGCCUGGUGCACAGUAUGUUUGA
rnacentral:lncRNA from 1 species